rnacentral:tRNA from 2 species
GAGCAUAGCUCAGCUGGGAGAGCGCUUGCCUUACAAGCAAGAUGUCACAGGUUCGAGCCCUGUUGUUCCC